GCUGGGGUAGCUCAGUCAGUGAGCAUGAGACUCUUAAUCUCAGGGCCGUGGGUUCGAGCCCCACAUUGGGCG